rnacentral:miRNA from 1 species
UGGAUUGGCCAAAAAGUUCGUUCGGGUUUUCGCUGUUACAGACGAACUUCUUGGCCAACCCA